UACGUAGGGUGCGAGCGUUGUCCGGAAUUAUUGGGCGUAAAGAGCUCGUAGGCGGUUUGUCACGUCUGCUGUGAAAUCCCGAGGCUCAACCUCGGGCCUGCAGUGGGUACGGGCAGACUGGAGUGCGGUAGGGGAGAAUGGAAUUCCUGGUGUAGCGGUGGAAUGCACAGAUAUCAGGAGGAACACCAAUAGCGAAGGCAGCUCGCUGGGACGGUAUUGACGCUAAGGCGCGAAAGCGUGGGGAGCAAACAGG
rnacentral:rRNA from 1 species